rnacentral:lncRNA from 1 species
ACCAUGUUUCUCUCCCACUUCUCCAAGAUACGUAUGAAAAUGUUGAGCUAAAUUAGGCUUUAUAAAUAAGCUGAUAGGGAAAAGACUUAACUUGUGUUUUUCUCCCUUACAGAUUUUAUGAUAGGGGAAAGCUAAUUUUCAGAUAGCUUAAAAACUACAGGAAAAAAAAACCUUAAAAAAAAUCCAGCUACUCCUGAAUGGAUGUUCCUCACUCAGGUUUUCAACAAUCAUCUGAAACAGAGGAAGCUUCCAGUUCCUUCAGCACUGGAGAACAUCUAAUGGUACCAGCAUGAUGAUUCAGAAACCCUUGAAGAUACAGUCAUAUUUUCAGCAACAGAUGGAUUUAACACUGCAGAUGGAGUGUUAAGAGUGCAGGUAAUAACAAACUCAGCAAUGUACUGUACUGAAAUAUAAUUGGAAAGUAUUAAUCAUAUAUUGGU